ACAGAGAGGUAUAACUGGGAUAGGGCCCGCUCCGCCAAUUUCCGAACCUCGCGGGGCGCGCGACCUAACACGGUAGCCAACCUACGACACAAAAAACUUCAUUUCUGUUGGCGCCUUUUGCCCGACUCGCAAUCAUUUUCAAAAUCUCUUAAUAGCUAUCACAUUUGGCAAAACAGGGAUAAAAGAUUGAACGUUCGUUUAAUAAAAAUAAAGGUGUAUGAAAUAUUAUUUUGAUAUUCGUUGAGCCAGCCCUGCUCGGGGCCUCCCGAAGAGGCUUCGGCUCCGAGCCGACCGCCACUUUGUUGCAGCAGUAGCGCGCUCGUGUCGUGUCUGAAGUUCGUUGGUGUUGUGUUCGUCGUUGGACUUGUCUUCAUUUUUGCUGCGAUGACUCUUGUUGAGGCUUGGGGUGAUGACUUCACCUUCCAUUACUCCAAGGGGAUGUAGGUGUUACUGGAGGCUGUUGACUCUAUUCCGUCCACCAAUCUGCUCUAAGUGAUUGAUGAUGUGUUUGGCAGGCUUCCCAACUGAUCCUUCCGUUUAACUUGUGACUGAAGAUUUUCAAUUAUUGAUCUGUGAUGUAAUCUGUGAUAAAUGUUUUCAUUUACAUGUAGUAUUUAAUUUAAAAUUUUGACUUAAUAUUAUCGGUUAUUGAUUUGUGAUGUAUCUGUGACAAUUGUUUUCAUUAAACAUGCAUUUAGUUUGAAAA